CUGAUAUGAAGAUGCGAUCCAGCCUAUUCCAUUGUUGAAAUGAAAAGAUCACGAAAGGAGGCCUUGCUUGAAUUUCGCUGCAGGGUGGAGGAUGCAAUACGUGGAAACUAUCUGUUUGGCCUGAAAAGGGGGAUUUUUCCCUCCCAAGAAGAUGCCAAGAAAGGAGAUUUGAAGGACAUUAAGCUGUGGGGUGUCCCUUUAUUGCCUAGUGAAAAUCACGAGGGGAUAAAUAUUAUUYUGAUGAAAUUCUUGAAAGCAAAGAAUUACAAGGUGCACGAGGCAUUUACUUUACUGCGCAGGACCCUGAAAUGGCGUGUAGAUUUUAACGCAGAUAAAAUUCUCGAAGAGAAUUUAAGGCCUGAGCCUGAUUAUUUGUGGUUCAGCAAUGGUAUGGAUAAAGAAGGCCGCCCUUUGUGUUACAAUGUGUUGGGCAAGAAAUCAAAGAAGAAAUUAUCGAGCAAUGGUGAGAGAUUCAAAGCUUUCUUGAGGUGGAGGGUUCAGUGCGUUGAAAGAGGGAUUCAAAAUCUCCAUUUUAGGCCUGGUGGGGAGGAUUCGAUUAUUCAGAUUAUUGAUUUAAAGAAUGCUCCUGGAACUGCAGUCAAGGAGGUCAUGCUGAUUUGCAAGAAAAUGAUGGCCCUGCUUCAUGAUCAUUAUCCUGGAAUGAUCUACAAAAAUGUAAGA
rnacentral:misc_RNA from 1 species